CCCAAACGUGUGUAUGCACAUAACGAAGGUGCAAUUGUAAUUGUGCGGCUCUCCGGCCUGCCUGGCACGGCCCUUGCUUCCAACAGAAAGCUGACAAUCUCCGCUGCCUGGGCGAAACACAAAGGUCUCCCGUUCUUCCAAGGCUCCGGCCGAUAACGCUGCGCUGGGGAAUUGUGCGAACUCUGUGGCUCCGGAAUACAGAAUUCACAUCACAUGUGCCUGGCGCUGGCAAGGAAAGCUUUCCUUUUACAUGUAGUAGAAAGGCAGCAUGCAAGGUGAUUUGUGAC
ensembl:lncRNA